rnacentral:lncRNA from 1 species
GAACACAAAAUGGCGACACGUGGUUAGCAUUCGUCGCCAACGAGAAAUUGGGGUCGGCCCGAAAGCUCUAGAAUGCACCCCUCUUCCUCCCCGGGGCCUUCCACCUCCGCGAGUUUUAUGACUUAAAAAAGCCCACAGGCUGGUCUGAAGAGGAAGACAAACAUAAAGAUGAAGUGCUUAAUUCAAGGUCACACAAUGUCGGGGAUGGACCUCCAGAUUUCCUUACUGACCUGCAUUAUCUUGUGGAUACCUGAGUGAAUUCCACACCACCCAUUUUAUAGAUGAAACCACUGAGACAUGGAGCAAUUGACUGAGUAGUCACUGCCCCACCCCUGCCUGGAGCCUCACACAUGACUCGCCUCCUCUCAGUGACCACAGGUUGGUUGAGGGGUUUAACAAGGCUAAGAAGGUGAGACGUGGUCUUGUAACACAGUGGUUAAGAAUGUGACUUUGGAGCCAGCCUGCUAGGGGCUGAAUUCUGACUCAGCCAUUUACUAACUGUGUGACCUUAGGGAGGAGGACCUGGUUGAUAGAAGAAUUUAUCUCGUAGUCUUAACAUCCACUGUAAUUCCAAACUUUGAGGACGAUAGAGAUCAGUGGGCUUUGACUGCCCAGCAUGCAGUCUCCAUUCUUAGGUGGGUUCCCAAGCCUGUAAAAUGUAAGCCUUAUGCUGCUGAGGGCCAUCUUGCCACCCUGAGGGAAACGCUGCCUGAGAAUGAAACAAGCAUAAGUAAAAGCUGAGCUGUGAGAUGGAGCAAGAUGAAGGCCACAUGACAUCUUUGGAGCACCUGGAUCUAACUGUGCCUUAAGCUAGUCUAACCCUGAACAUUUCAUCAUUUCAUUGACAUGAGCCCAGGUUUUCUUUUUUUUUGGAUGGAGUCUUGCUCUGUCGCCCAGGCUGGAGUGCAGUAGCUCAAUCUCGGCUCACUGCAAGCUCCACCUCCCGGGUUCACGCCAUUCUCCUGCCUUAGCCUCCCAAGUAGCUGGGACAACAGGCGCCCACCACCACUCCCAGCUAAUUUUUUGUAUUUUUAGUAGAGACGGGGUUUUACCAUGUUAGCCGGGAUGGUCUUGAUCUCCUGACCUCAUGAUCCGCCCGCCUCGGCCUCCCAAAGUGCUGGGAUUACAGGUGUGAGCCACUGCACCCAGCCCUCAGGUUUUCCCUUUUUUUACCCCUCCUUUUGAAAAUUUGAUGUGGAAUUUUGCCACCUGCAGCCAGAAGAGUUUUAACUAAUCAGUGCCAUAAAUUUUAUAUAGUUCUCCUUGCAAAAUGUGGAUCAGCCUUUCUCAGCAAAUCCUUUGUCAUAAAGUGCUGAAUUGUAAGUUUGUCAUGAGAAUCACAUGAGAUCAUGCAUGUGAAGAACCUGGCAUUAUCCUCCUCAUAGAAAAAAACCAGUAAAUAUUAACUACAGGAAGCAAGGAAGGAGUGGGGUGAGGGGAAGAAGAAGGGGUACUGAUUUAAAAGAACCCUGGAGUCCUAAGGAUAAUCUAGGAACCCUCAGACCCAAUCCGAUACCCCUAUUCUAAAUGCUCCUAGUGCCCUGUACCUUCCCCUCAUAAGCCUUCAUUAUCAUUGUAAUGAUAUGUUUAUGUAAUAUUUUGAUUAAUGUCUCUCCUUCACUGACCUAGCAGUUCUAGCAGGGCAGUGAUUUUGCUGUGUUGCAUCCCCAGCACCUAGUCUGGUAUGUGGCAUUCAGCAUAUGUUUAUUGAAUGAAUGGCCAUGUGGUUAUUCAGAUCCUCCUUGAUUAUUGGGGUUAGGAUUGUGGCAGAAGUGGCAAAAUCAGGGAGAGUAGUCCCUGUCCCCUCUGUAUCUUAUACACUGCCCACACUCCCAACACACAUACACAUACAGAGAAUUUUGUCUCAAUUAGAUAAUUAACUUCUGCUUGGUUGUAAACCAAACCACUGGUUCUUAAACUUUCAUUGGAUCAUUUUAUUGAAGAAUUAAAUAGUGUGGUUCUGGCCUAAUGUCUGGAAAGCCUUGCAGAGGAGUGGAUUAGGUCUUUGUGAUAAACAGGCAGCCUUCCCUGCUCCUGUGUCUUUAUAAAAUCUAUUUAACUGGAGUAGUCCACCCUCCCUCAGGCUCUUACAGGAAUAUGUUGGAGGCUGUAGGAAGGUGGGAAACCGAGAGGGAAAGGACUGGGCCGCUGGAGACUUCACUCAUUCCCUAGCAAGAAACAAAAGCAGUAAAAGGUGGCCCGAGGACAACCUGAAGCUCACUCCUUCAGCACUUUUGGCUGGAGGUCACUUGUUGGAGCCCCACUCAGAGCUCAGCACACCACCCCACCAGCAGCCUCCUCCUCCCAGCUGAGGCUGCAUUUCAUCCCUUCCCCCAGCCUGCUUUCCCUGAGAUAGGGGAGUGUUUCCCAGGGCCCAUGUGACUUCCACUGGCAAGUGACGAUUACCAAUGGUUUACUAGUCAGUGAAACUACCAAAGGCUUUUGUGCUGUAGUAAUCCUUUUCCUGUUUAAAACUCUGGGGAUUUUCUAAUGUUGCCAAUAGUUUUUCAAGUCAGCAAUUACUGUGUGGAUUAUGUAAUGGCUCGGUAUUAAAAA